AGAGAAUAGAUACCCCGGUAGUCCACGCUGUAAACGAUGAGUGCUGGACGUUGGCGGGUUUACCUGCCGGUGUCGCAGCUAAACGCGUUAAGCACUCCGCCUGGGGAGUACGGCCGCAAGGUUAAAACUCAAAGGAAUUGACGGGGGCCCGCACAAGCGGUGGAGCAUGUGGUUUAAUUCGACGCAACGCGCAGAACCUUACCAGCCCUUGACAUGGGCGGACGGGGUCCAGAGAUGGACUCUUUCUCGCAAGAGACCGCUACACAGGUGCUGCAUGGCUGUCGUCAGCUCGUGUCGUGAGACUG
rnacentral:rRNA from 1 species